rnacentral:rRNA from 1 species
UACGGGGGGGGCAAGCGUUGUUCGGAAUUACUGGGCGUAAAGGGCUCGUAGGCGGCCAACUAAGUCAGACGUGAAAUCCCUCGGCUUAACCGGGGAACUGCGUCUGAUACUGGAUGGCUUGAGUUCGGGAGAGGGAUGCGGAAUUCCAGGUGUAGCGGUGAAAUGCUUAGAUAUCGUCAAGAACACCGAUAGUGAAGACAGCUUACUAAACUAUAACUGACGCUGAGGCACGAAAGUGUGGGGAUCAAACAGG